rnacentral:rRNA from 1 species
UACGGAGGGUGCAAGCGUUAAUCGGAAUUACUGGGCGUAAAGCGCACGCAGGCGGUCUGUCAAGUCGGAUGUGAAAUCCCCGGGCUUAACCUGGGAACUGCAUUCGAAACUGGCAGGCUAGAGUCUUGUAGAGGGGGGUAGAAUUCCAGGUGUAGCGGUGAAAUGCGUAGAGAUCUGGAGGAAUACCGGUGGCGAAGGCGGCCCCCUGGACGAAGACUGACACUGAGGAGCGAAAGCAUGGGGAGCGAACAGG